UUACCUACCCUUGACAUGGUCGGAAGCCCGAUGAGAGUUGGGCGUGCUCGAAAGAGAACCGGCGCACAGGUGCUGCAUGGCUGUCGUCAGCUCGUGUCGUGAGAUGUUGGGUUAAGUCCCGCAACGAGCGCAACCCUUGUCCUUAGUUGCUACGCAAGAGCACUCUAGGGAGACUGCCGGUGACAAACCGGAGGAAGGUGGGGAUGACGUCAAGUCCUCAUGGCCCUUAUGGGUAGGGCUUCACACGUCAUACAAUGGUCGGAACAGAGGGUUGCCAACCCGCGAGGGGGAGCUAAUCCCAGAAAACCGAUCGUAGUCCGGAUUGCACUCUGCAACUCGAGUGCAUGAAGCUGGAAUCGCUAGUAAUCGCGGAUCAGCAUG
rnacentral:rRNA from 1 species